GACGAACGCUGGCGGCGUGCUUAACACAUGCAAGUCGAACGAAGAGCGACGGAAGCUUGCUUCUAUCAAUCUUAGUGGCGAACGGGUGAGUAACGCGUAAUCAACCUGCCCUUCAGAGGGGGACAACAGUUGGAAACGACUGCUAAUACCGCAUACGAUCUAAUCUCGGCAUCGAGGAUAGAUGAAAGGUGGCCUCUACAUGUAAGCUAUCACUGAAGGAGGGGAUUGCGUCUGAUUAGCUAGUUGGAGGGGUAAUGGCCCACCAAGGCGAUGAUCAGUAGCCGGUCUGAGAGGAUGAACGGCCACAUUGGGACUGAGACACGGCCCAGACUCCUACGGGAGGCAGCAGUGGGGAAUCUUCCGCAAUGGACGAAAGUCUGACGGAGCAACGCCGCGUGAGUGAUGACGGCCUUCGGGUUGUAAAGCUCUGUUAAAUUGG
rnacentral:rRNA from 1 species